UCUCACUCUACUGCCCAGCCUGGAGUGCGGUGGUAUGAUCUUGGCUCACUGUAGCCUUCACUUCCUGGGCUCAAGUAAUCCUUCUGCCUCAGCUUCCCAAGUAGCUGGGACUAUAGGCUCAUCCCAACUCUAAGGCACCUAAUAAAAAAGAUCUCCUUGUCAUGUUAUUUGCCAAGCAAAUGGCCAUCCUCCCUACUAGUUCUUUGCCUUUCUUCCGCUCCCAAACACCUCUAGUGUCUCCUAACUGUGAGGACGUAUGGUGCAGUGACCAAGAGUGGGAUGUCUUCAUUCACACUGGGCUCCGCUUCUUACCAGCUCUGUGAUCCUGUGCAAAAUCCUGGCUUGCUCAUGUGGUCACAAAGGAGCUGGAAUGGAAUGCAGGGACGUGGCUGGGCCCUGUUCUGUGUAUGAAUGGAGACUGGCCAUUCAAGCAUUUCAAGCAUUUGCUGUGCUUGGGAACUACCAGGUCUGAGAGGCCCAGAGAGGCAAAAUGAUGAGACCAACUUUGACAUAUGGAAGAAUUUCUUCAGUGCAAAUUAUUCCAGAGGAGAAAAACAAAACAUGAUUUGCAAAUGCUGUCAAGGAAAUGUUUCUUUCAAAAGGCUACGAGCAGGAUAUAUUGGUGUGUGAGGAUUG